AACGACAAGUAGGCGAUCCAACCGAUUACGAACGAGAGGAGCGUAUCUGGAAACACAUCAAAGAUUUCCUCUUUGGCUAAUCGCUUAAAGUUAAAUCCACCUGGAAUUCCAAGAUUUUUGUUGGACAUUGCUAUUCGUGAUUUUGACGAUUCAAUCUGUUUGCUAAACUCUACUCAAUUUUUCCAAAUCUGGUAGAAUAUUGAACUCCUAUCCCAUACAAUCAAUAAUACAUACACGCAAUUAUCAUUCAAAUAUACUACUGCUUCAACCCGCCUCCAAAUUAUCCCUUUUUUAACGUAGGCAGGGUAAAUAGCACAUUAGAACUUAGAAGUUAAUGUUGGAAGUUAAAUUUUCCAUCAAUAAAUGAGAGCUUUAGCUUAAAUGACACAAACAGCAUCUAGUCAGCAUUUCUCAUUUUGGUUUCCUUCAGUGAUUAGAGAUUAUUUUGAUUUGGCACCGUUCAGACGUGAAAUUAUAUGAUGGCCUCCUCCACCGGGAUCUUCGCUUAUUGGCUAUUCAUUACGAUGACUCUUUUCAUCCUUCAAGGUGUCCUGGGAAGUCCGUUCGAUUUGUCUGAAGGCGAAUUACGUGCUGAACGAGAAAUAAGCGAUUCAACAGAUUACGAACGAGAGGAGCGUUUCUGGGAACACAUCAAAAAUUUCUUAGGUGGAUUUUUGGGCUAAUCUUUUCACGAAAAUGCUAUCUACCCGGAUUUAUAAAAAGUCUAUUUGCACAUUGUUGUUCGUGAUUUUGACGAUCCAAACUUUUUUCCGGCUAGCCAUUUUUCCUAAUCUCUCUUCAAAUUUUUCAAAAUCUGUAAGGAUGUUGAACUCGUAUGCCUGUAAGCAUAUACAUACAAUUUUCAUUCAAAUAGACUAUACUGCUUAUAUCCAA